CCUACGGGAGGCAGCAGUGAGGAAUAUUGGUCAAUGGCCGGAAGGCUGAACCAGCCAUGCCGCGUGAAGGUCAGUGCCCUAUGGGCGUUAAACUUCUUUUGUGCGGGAGCAAUAAUGGUCACGUGUGGCCAGACGAGAGUACCGUACGAAUAAGCAUCGGCUAACACCGUGCCAGAGGCCGCGGUAAUACGGGGGAUGCAAGCGUUAUCCGGAUUUAUUGGGUUUAAAGGGUGCGUAGGCUGGGAGGUAAGUCAGCGGGGAAAUGCCCCCGCGCAACGGGGUGAAGUGCCAUUGAUACUGGCUUGCUGGAAUGCGGAUGCGGUAGGAGGAAUGUGUGGUGUAGCGGUGAAAUGCAUAGAUAUCGCACAGAACACCGAUUGCGAAGGCAUCUCACG
rnacentral:rRNA from 1 species